CCCAUCCACCCCGCGCUCCGGCCUCCUCCUCCUCCUCCCUCUCUCUCUCUGGAGCUUUCGUUCUCCGCCCGAGCCGCCUCCUCGCGUCUCCGCGGCUGUUUCCUUCCCCCGUGUCCAUCAUCAAUUCUCGGUUCCGUCUCGAAUCGCGUUUGAUUUUGCUAUAUCCUCGUCGCCUCUGCCUCCGUGCUCGCAGGGGGUUCGGCCGGCCCGUCUCGUCCGCCUCCGGGGGAGCGAUCGGUCGGGAUCAGGAUCCCGUCGAGCUGUUCGUUUUUACUUUCCGCGUCUGGUUUCGGGUGAUCCUCCGUUGGCCAUAGCAAGGUCAGUUUCCUCUCUGCGUUCGUCGGUGAUUUCAGAUUCGAAUCGAAUUGAAUUGAGCGUCUAUCGCCCGUACGGCCUUCUGCCUCUGUGUUCCCCGAUCAAGCGCUCUCGUCACCAGUUAAUACGAUUACGAGGUGGAUUCCAGGGCCUCGUGGAUUCUUGUUGUGCCGCUGAUCUAGCUGUCGGUGUAUGCGCUCUCAUCCUAGAUGCAACCAAGUGGGCGAGCGCUAGUUGUGGGGAGAUGAUAUUGGAUAUAGAUCAAGGGUGGAGGUUUGAUUUUUGUUGAUGGUUAUUUUGAUUGAUCGGUUAUUACAGUCCGACGGUUGGCCAAAUCUUCUGGGAUGGUCAAGCUUUUGACCUCUUAUUACCGACCUAGGCUGCAAAGGAAUGCACGAUCUGCGCCUAUUACAUUACAAUUCUGAUUUGGAUAUUUUCAGAAACUGGGAUUCAUCUUCUGGCACACCUGCGUUUGGAUGAUGGCACUCUCUGUUUAAUUUCUUCUUCUCCACAAUUCAAUUAGCCCCCCAACAACUCUGAUUUUGAUUUGUUGCUGGCUCCCCACAUGUCCUCUUUUGGCUCGGCAUGGCGUUCAUGGGGCUCAACUUUCUGGACCUUUCUUAUUGAAACAAUUAUGGCUCAGCAGACAUUAGUUUCCCGUGCCUUACACUCAGGUCUCAGCUCUUGCAGAUAGUGUCUUGCAAUGGAUAUAAUUGGAACUUGUGGUGUCUACCUGACCAUCCCAGUCGAGACAGGCUUACUUUAAACAUUUAUAGAAAGUUAUCUUGCUCGAUGCAGGUCGUAGCUCACCAACACAAGGCCACCAACCUGAUGCUAAGUUUGCAGUUCUUCUAUCUACUCCUUAGAUAAUAAUACUAAGAUUUCUUACUAGGCAAUAUUUCAAAUUCAGAUUUAGCUGCAAAGGUGCAAGAAUGAAGCUUCAAACAUAUCCUACAACCGUAAAAAACUUAAAUCUCUUAUCCUCUUAUUUUUAUUUAUUAAUUCAGCUACAUGUUCAUGUCUUUGAUUUAGGAUUUUUGCUUCUGCCCUCCAUGUCCUUGCAGAUUUGUUUUGGCCUAAGACAAUGCUGCUAGUGAGCCUGAAUAUGUUAAAUUGUCUGGUUUGCCAUUUACUAUCUCUUUGUGGUUUUAUUAAUUAUUGGUUAUCUGUAACUCUUGAUCCCUGCGUUAGUCUUCCUGCCCAUUGCUAUCUGAUAUAUUUAUAGGAAGUCUGGCCCUACAUGCAGACCUGUUGUUCGUGUGUUGGCUUCCAUGGGUUGGCUGCAGGACUGGAUCUAGUAUGUGGAGACCCCUGGGGUGUUGUAUGUCAAGGGGAUUUGAGUCAGAUGCAGCAGAAGCAAGAGGGCAGUGGUUCCGCAGAGAUGUGGAGGUUUGGUUUCUUACACAUGGUUAGAUCAUUCUGGAGGACGAUGUUUUGGUGUUCAAAUCCAACUUGUGAUCCGUGUUUGGAUGAUUGCAAAUUCUCGAUCACUCUGACUUUUAACUUACUCAUUCAUUUGCGAAGUACAAUAAUUUACUCUCCAGAGGUUCUGACUUGGACUAUUAUUAUUGGUGGAUCUACAGAAAUUUGGAUUUGGCUUAGCGGCAGGGGUGACAUGUCUUCUUGCUGAUCUGCUUUGGAUGAAUCAUUACUUCCUCCAUUUCAUUUAUUUCUCUCCAUAGCUCACCUUCAGUCUAUGACAAUCCUGAUUUGCAUUUGUUGGUGGUUCUUCAGAAAUUGAGGUUAUACGGCUUAGCGGGAGCAUCUAUCGUCUUGGUGAUCUGCAGUGGAUGAUCAUUACCUAAUCAUUUUAAUUUCUUCUUCUCCAGAGUUCAAUUAGUCUCCCAACAAUUCUGACUGUGAUCUGUUGAUGGUUGUCCAGAAUUGGAAUUACACGGUCUAGCGGGCGGUCCUAUAUUUUGCCUCAGCGUGGCAGUUCCUUCUUUCUCAACCUUCCUUAUUGAACUCGCAUGACAUUAGGUUUUAUCUGCCUUAGUCGGUAAUUCUCAGCUCUUGCAGAUACUGACAUAGAAAGGUACUGCAGUUUGGAACUGGUGGUGUUGUCGUCCGUCAACCAUAGCUGAACUUCCUAUCCGAGACAGGCUUACUUGUUCCCGCCUAUCGUUUGGUCCAUGCUUUAGCUAUUUAUAAGCAACAUUUUCCCCUAACUGAAAUUUUAUAGAAAGGUCUCUUUCUCGUUGCAAGUUGUAGUUGACGAAACUCGAGCCCAACUUGAUGGUUUGCAGAUCUUUUAAAUCUACUAGUAUACCUUCAAAUCAUUGCAACUUACAUAACCUACAAAUUAUCUUACUAGGCAAUAUUUUAUAAUACAGAUUCAUAUGCAAAGGUGCAUGAAUCUAAGGAUAAUCCGAAGCUUUCGACUAAUGGCGCAUCCUACAACCGAGAAAGACUCUUGCCUAGGUUUUUGCUCCUGCCCUUCCUGUGGAUGCAGAUCUUUUUUAGCCCAGAGCAUGUGGGUAAUGACGCGGAGUCUGUUCUAAUAUUUUGGUUUGUGAUCUAGCUCUCCGUUGUUUGAUUUGUUACCUUUAACUCUUGAUCCCUGUGUUCUAUUGGUCUUCUGCAAGUGUGGGUUGCAGGAUAUGAUAGUUAGGAGUUCGUGCCCAAACCUUUGCUCUGUACAUGGAGUCAGGUCAGUGUCAUGUAGAUGGUCUGUUUGUUCCAUUUGUUAGCGCCACCUCCGUGAGUUGGCUUGCAGGAUUGGAUCCGGUCUGGACAUGUAGCUCCCUAUGAUGUAUAACAGUAUGGUGAAGGGGAUUUGAGGCAGGUCAGCCCAUGUUUGAUCACACUGGUUUACUGGAUCCCUCAUCUGUGCUCGGUGACGAAAGAUAUUAGUGGCUAUACCUUGAGUUCUUCGAUUUGUCUUUGUCUGAUUGCUCAUCAUUAUGGCUGUCCCUCAAUUUGCCGUGAACUGGUUCUUGUUGUGACAGCUGAUCUCGCUUGUGGUAUGUGUUUGUGCUCCUUGAGAUGCAGGAUGUUGUUGAGUGAUGAAUCAAAGGAUUGAGGUUUGCUUUACUGUUCAUGGUUAUUUUGAUUGGUUAUGGCUCAAUGGAUGGUUAUAAGCUAUUAUCUUGUGUGCUGAAGUUUUCGUUUUGGAUUGAAGCUGGAUUGGAUUAACCAUGGGAUGGGGAUCAGAGAAUUUGUGAACAGUGUUUGGAUAAUCGAUCCUCCUCUAUUUAGUUUCUUUGUUUGCACUUACAACAUCUCUGAUAUGGAUUCUCCAGCUAUUUGGCUUAUAUGGGGACUUUCCGGAAGGUGCCCUGUUUUGUUUCACCAUGUUACUGGCGGUUUCUUCUGUUGGCUUCAAUCUUUCCUGAUUUGCGUUGAAUAUUGAACUUCCUAUGGCUUUCUCUGCCCUUGGUAACUACGUGUCCUUGCAGAUAUUGACAUGGAUGAGAGAUAAUAUAGUUUGCUAUCUGCAACUGGUGUUGUUGACUAACUGAUCUCUCCCAGCCAAGCAGGCUUAUCCUAUCCCCUCACUGUUUUGAUGCAUUAUUUAGCUGUUUAUAAGUAGCUUCGUCUCCCCAAAGCAAAAAUUCAUGAGAAGGUCUCUUGGUCGUUGCAGGUCCUAAUUGACUAUUUAGGUCCAACCUGAUGCGGAGUUAUCUGUUUGAAGUCUUCUAAACCCUACACCUUUCCAAUUCAUUGCAAUUUGUUCAACAUAUAAAUUAUCUUAUGGAGACAAUUUGAACAUUCAGAUUGAUUUGUUGGAUAGAUUCGAUGGUUUCUCUGGGGCUUCAGUCUAGAUGGGAAACAACCGAAAAUACUUGGUGCACUCCACAACCGAAAAUUAUCUUAUGCUGAGUUAUCUCCUGAAGAAACUACUGUUGUCUUGGCUGCCUUUGCUUGUAGCAUUGAUCAAGCCAUGCUGGUAGCCAUUCAAAAUAUGUUACCUUUUUGGUUUCUGGUCCUCUCUGUGGUUUACUUUGUUAUAUCUGUACUACCCAUCCAUGUGUUUCUGUUGGUCUGUUGGCCUGGCUUGUUCUUUGCACAGUAUAUCUUGGAAUUGGUGGGUGUGCCCUGUAGAGUCAGGUCAGUGUCUGGUCUGCUCUCAAUACAAAAAUUCCAAGAUAUCUGUACUACCCAUCCAUGUGUUUCUGUUGGUCUGUUGGCCUGGCUUGUUCUUUGCACAGUAUAUCUUGGAAUUGGUGGGUGUGCCCUGUAGAGUCAGGUCAGUGUCUGGUCUGCUCUCAAUACAAAAAUUCCAAGAUAUCUGUACUACCCAUCCAUGUGUUUCUGUUGGUCUGUUGGCCUGGCUUGUUCUUUGCACAGUAUAUCUUGGAAUUGGUGGGUGUGCCCUGUAGAGUCAGGUCAGUGUCUGGUCUGCUCUCAAUACAAAAAUUAGCUUUGUUCCCUCUUCUCCAAUCUCCAAUGGCUAAUCAACGAUUCUGUCUGCCACGUAAUACAAGGUGAAUUUUAUCUUGUUUAUGGUAUGCUCAUUUGUUCCUUUAGAUACAAGACAGCGGAGAUCGUAUUGAAGGGUAAAGGUUUGGGUGAUUCAUGGAUGUUCUUUAGCUCUUCUGAUUAUAUCUUAAGUUUGGGAUUGGAAUUGUUGGUCAUGCCUGCAUGGUUGAGGAUUCAUAAGUGUCUUGAGGCGUGACUGGACUGUUUAGAUAUAUUCUCCUCUGAUUUCUCCAUGUGAGCAGUUUGGUUUCUGUUCUGAGUAUUAUUUGGAUUUUUUGUUGUUCUCCAGCAUUUGAGCGUAGACUUGCUCAUUUUUAUUGGAAUGGUGCAGAGCUCUAGGAGAUUCUUCGUGAUUCGAUCUUGUCAAACUUCUCUCUGUUAACUUUUAACUUUCCAAACAUUGUUCUUUCUUGUCAGUAACUCUUAGUUCUAUGCAGAUAUGACAUACAAUGAGGAUAAUCAAACCAAUGUGCAUAACUUCACUAAACCAGGCUUAUCCCCAUCUCCCUUGCUAUAUUUGUUCACAUGUUUGCGAUGUUGAACAGCUUUCUCCAAAAUGGUUAGGCAUCAUGGUCUUUUGUUCAUUGCAGGUGUACUUCACAAUCUUACAGAAGAAGUCUGAUGUCAUGCUGCGUGAAAAUUUGUUUGGAGACCUUCUGACUUCACAUUUUCUAUUUAGUUAGCUAGAAACCCAAUUAGCUGUUAAGUUUGGUAUUCAAACUGAUCCGCGGAGGUGAAGAGUUCUAAAAGCUUGUUUGGGAACUUCGUUCUGGAUAGAGGAGUCUUCUACAACCACAAACUUAUACCUAUGCUGCAUCCUUGUUUCGACUCAUUGUCCAGUUCUAAUUAUGGUCUAACUUUCCUUGAAGAAACUUCUAAGUAUGCCAAUUAUAUUUGGUCUGUUCAUUAAUCGGCACUGUUGGAGGUUUUAUUGGAAUAUUGUAGAGUUGGAAAGUCUAGCAAAACGUCAGUUGGUGUCGGGACUUAGUGAAGCCCGGGCGGUUUUAACUUCUGAUUAAUCCUGAUCCUGAAGCAUAUUACUUGAUUUGGUAUUUGUGGCAGCUUUCAGUUAAUUUGAACUUGCAUUCAGUGAUAGUUUGGAGUUAGUAGUGUGCACAUCUGAUUCUGCCAACUGUCCUGAAGCAUCUUAUCAUGACAUCCUACUGAUUACAACAUCUGCUUCAGCUUGCACGUGGUUUGGAAUAUGAUCUCAGCUUUUUCUCCGAAUCAACAAAAUGCUAGAAGUAAUGAUGUCCUAACUGGAAGUUCCUUUAGUCUCAAACAAGGGUUCAACAAUGGAAAUACCAGUUCAUAGCAGAUUAUCAAACUUUGAUUUGGCUAUAGAUUACUACUUGGUUGACAUACUAUUUCCGGAAGUUGGGUUUUAAUAUUAGGCUGGUUGUAUCUAUAAUUUUAUCUCUAGCAGUAAUAUUUUUAGCUUGCAAAUUUAUAUCACCUAAUACAUGUACAUGAGCUCUGAAUGCAGUAAAAGAUUUGUCAGUCUACUAUUCUACAUUUUCUUGUCCGCACUUGGUUUGUUCAUUUAACUAUUUUCCUGGUGAGUUCUUUAGGAUCAUCUUAUGGCACACAAUCAGUUUCUGAUUUGCACAGAUCUUUAACUAAAAUGAUAAAGAAAGAUCCCAUCUAGUUGUUUGCUGGCUCUCUCAAUUGACUUGUGGUUGGGUAACUUUGAUGUCUUGAUAUGCAGAAAGAGGCUAAGGAAUUAUUGCCAUAUACUAAAACAAUGGAGAGUUGAAGCUUCUGAACUGGAAGCUUGAACAAAUAGUUUGCCCUGAACACUCUACUCGUGAUGUCUUAGAUUACUGCCAUCUCCACUAAUUAUGAUUCCGGUUUGGUGGUAUAGAAUUGAUUUUCAGAAAAUGAUGUUCUUCUCGUUGGUGCUUCUCCAGUGGGAUCUGGAUUACAUAUCUUGAAUUCAAUACAUCUUCUCGGUUUGCUGGAGAACUCCUAGUUUUAAUUUGACAACUAGCAAAACAGUCUGGCUAAUUUGAUGAUUCCUGCUGAUUGUACUUUUAACUCAAGUUGCUCUUAUUCCUGGAUUGAAGAAAAAAGGCGUUCACACAUCUUAACGUUUUCUAAUGGCUUAUGGGAUCUUUAAUUACAUGAUCUCGGUUUUCCGGGAACUCCCUAAUUUCAAUUUCCUUGGCAACUAGCAAAAUUACUAAUUUGACGAUUCCUGCCAAUUGCAUAUCUGACUCCGGCUAUACAUAUGCCACACAGUAUGCAUAGUCCAUGCGUCCUGGAUUUUCAAGACACAAAAGUAUAUAUCUCCUCUGACCCUAUAAUAAUGGGAGAAAACUGCUUUCAAGAUUGAAAAGUUUGAAUCACCCUCACCCCACUAUAGAAAUUCAUGUUCUGGAAUUAUAGCUUUCUUUGUUUGCGCCCCUGUGUCUGUCUUAUGAUCUUGUGCAAUUGUUGUGCAAAUAUUUUUUGCCUCUGGUUGAUGGUGUGGCUUGUAUGCUUAGCUGAAAUAAUUGGUUGUAGUGUUUGCUAAUUUUUGUGUUUAGUAGUUUUGUUGUUGUAGUAGUAGUUUUGUAGUUUAACACUGCCUUUGCCGGUCCCAAGCCCGGAUGAGAAAAUGUGGAGGGAACUGCAUCGUUUGCAUUAGAACUUGCAUGGCCUCCGAAUAUUCGAAAUUGAUUAACAGUGAAUGAGGUGAGUAUUAAGCUACAGUCCUUACUGGCCUCAUCGUAUAGUGUGGUAGCAUAUGAUUCGAGCUUUGAAAAUGCAUCCUUUCUGUUGGUAGUACCUGUAAGCAAAGAUAGAAGUUUGGCAAGGACCAAAAUGUAAAAUGUAUUGUGUACUUAUCUCUGACAAGGAAUGGAGUGUGUGUGUUCGACAGUCUUCCAGAAAA